rnacentral:rRNA from 1 species
GGCUCAGGACGAACGCUGGCGGCGUGCUUAACACAUGCAAGUCGAACGGAAAGGCCCUGCUUUGUGGGGUGCUCGAGUGGCGAACGGGUGAGUAACACGUGAGUAACCUGCCCUUGACUUUGGGAUAACUUCAGGAAACUGGGGCUAAUACCGGAUAGGAGCUCCUGCUGCAUGGUGGGGGUUGGAAAGUUUCGGCGGUUGGGGGAUGGACUCGCGGCUUAUCAGCUUGUUGGUGGGGUAGUGGCUUACCAAGGCUUUGACGGGUAGCCGGCCUGAGAGGGUGACCGGCCACAUUGGGACUGAGAUACGGCCCAGACUCCUACGGGAGGCAGCAGUGGGGAAUAUUGCACAAUGGGCGGAAGCCUGAUGCAGCAACGCCGCGUGCGGGAUGACGGCCUUCGGGUUGUAAACCGCUUUCGCCUGUGACGAAGCGUGAGUGACGGUAAUGGGUAAAGAAGCACCGGCUAACUACGUGCCAGCCGCCGC